AUGGCAAAAUAUUUUUGGAGCAGUUCUCUGGAUAAAAAUUCUAUGCACUGGGUGUCCUGGAACGAGUUGGCCACACCUAAGUGCAAAGGAGGGAUGGGGUUUCGUGACCCGCAUCAGUUUAAUCUUGCCAUGCUGGGCAAACAGGGUUGGCGAUUAAUGACAAACCCCACAUCGCUGUGUGCUAGAGUGCUCAAGGGUCGCUAUUUUCCCGACGGAGAUUUUAUGCACGCAUCUGAUCCAAAGUCGGCCUCAGCCACUUGGAAGGCAAUCGUGGCGGGAAAGGAGGCUCUAGGGGCAGGGCUGAUCGCUCGAGUGGGAGAUGGCAGCACGAUUUCAGUGUGGAAUGACAAAUGGAUU
rnacentral:rRNA from 1 species